rnacentral:rRNA from 1 species
UCUCGUAGCUUGCUAUGAGAACAAUUAGUGGCAGACGGGUGAGUAAUGCAUAGGAAUCUACCUAGUAGUAUAGGAUAGCCACUAGAAAUGGUGGGUAAUACUGUAUAAUCCCUGCGGGGGAAAGAUUUAUCGCUACAUGAUGAGCCUAUGUUAGAUUAGCUAGUUGGUGGGGUAAUGGCCUACCAAGGCAGUGAUCUAUAGCUGGUCUGAGAGGAUGAUCAGCCACACUGGAACUGAGACACGGUCCAGACUCCUACGGGAGGCAGCAGUGGGGAAUAUUGGACAAUGGGCGCAAGCCUGAUCCAGCUAUGCCGCGUGAGUGAGGAAGGCCUUAGGGUUGUAAAACUCUUUCAGUGGGGAAGAUAAUGACGGUACCCACAGAAGAAGUCCCGGCAAACUCCGUGCCAGCAGCCGCGGUAAUACGGAGGGGGCAAGCGUUGUUCGGAAUUAUUGGGCGUAAAGGGCAUGUAGGUGGUUUGGUAAGUUAAAGGUGAAAUGCCAGGGCUUAACCCUGGAUCUGCAUUUAAUACUGCCACACUGGAGUCCGGG